UACAGAGGUCUCAAGCGUUGUUCGGAUUCAUUGGGCGUAAAGGGUGCGUAGGUGGCGAGGUAAGUUGGAUGUGAAAUCCCGGGGCUUAACCCCGGAACUGCAUUCAAUACUGCCUUGCUCGAGUACUGGAGAGGAGAUUGGAAUUCAUGGUGUAGCAGUGAAAUGCGUAGAUAUCAUGAGGAAGACCAGUGGCGAAGGCGGAUCUCUGGACAGUUACUGACACUGAGGCACGAAGGCCAGGGGAGCAAACGGG
rnacentral:rRNA from 1 species